UAGCGAAGGGGGCUAGCGUUGUUCGGAAUCAGCUGGGCGUAAAGGCGCGUAGGCGGCUUUGGUAAAGUCGGGGGUGAAAGCCUGUGGCUCAACCACAGAAUUGCCUUCGAUACUGCAUGGCUUGAGACCGGAAGAGGUUAGUGGAACUGGCGAAGUGUAGAGGUGAAAUCGUAGAUAUUCGCAAGAACACCAGUGGCGAAGGCGGCUGACUGGUC
rnacentral:rRNA from 1 species